AACCGUGACGCAUUAUUUGUAUUUUUGAAAGCAUGGGAUUUGUAGUCAAUAAGUAGUUGUGAUUGCUAAAUCGGAUCUGACGUUGGACUUCGAAAGGCCAUGUGCUGCACAACAACAGUGCUCGACCGAAAGCUUGUCUGCAGAAGCAGGAAGUCCCCAAAUGGAGGCACUGUUGAAAUCAAGAAGCUGACGCCUCAGAAAUGGAAAAGGGAAGAGGAGGAAUCGGGGCUUGAACCCUCAACCUCAGCAUUCAAACCCCAUGUCAAUGCCACUACACCACCAUCAUGUCCGGGUUCUCAGUCGGUAGUUUCCAGUGCUCUACAGAGACAUUAUCAAUCGGAUGAGAUUUAUAGAUGAAGAGAGUCAAAAGGGGAGAGCUGGGAUCGAACUCUGUACCUCUGUAGCCAGAGGCGGAGACACUACCAUUAAGCCACGGUGGGAUUAACGAGUUCGGCGGUGAUUUUUUGGAUAGAAGAAGAUGAGC